UGUGUCUCCAGGACAAACCCAGAUAGCUCAGCUGAUGGCAGUCUGGAGUUUCACAGUUUUAUCAUCACGGUAAAUAUGUGUACAAUGAGUGUAAAUGCACACCGUGACUUACAGAACAAAAGCAACCCUGCCUCUGCCUUCCACAGUGGAAGACCAGCAUGUCUCUGCAGCUCAGGUUGCUGCACAAAG